AUUGAACGCUGGCGGCAGGCCUAACACAUGCAAGUCGAACGGUAACAGGAAACAGCUUGCUGUUUCGCUGACGAGUGGCGGACGGGUGAGUAAUGUCUGGGAAACUGCCUGAUGGAGGGGGAUAACUACUGGAAACGGUAGCUAAUACCGCAUAACGUCGCAAGACCAAAGAGGGGGACCUUCGGGCCUCUUGCCAUCGGAUGUGCCCAGAUGGGAUUAGCUUGUUGGUGGGGUAACGGCUCACCAAGGCGACGAUCCCUGGCUGGUCUGAGAGGAGGACCAGCCACACUGGAACUGAGACACGGUCCAGACUCCUACGGGAGGCAGCAGUGGGGAAUAUUGCACAAUGGGCGCAAGCCUGAUGCAGCCAUGCCGCGUGUAUGAAGAAGGCCUUCGGGUUGUAAAGUACUUUCAGCGGGGAGGAAGGGAGUAAAGUUAAUACCUUUACUCAUUGACGUUACCCGCAGAAGAAGCACCGGCUAACUCCGUGCCAGCCGCCGCCGUAA
rnacentral:rRNA from 1 species